GGGGGUUUAGCUCAGCUGGGAGAGCACCUGCCUUGCACGCAGGGGGUCAAGGGUUCGAAUCCCUUAAUCUCCACCA
rnacentral:tRNA from 1 species